rnacentral:rRNA from 1 species
GAUGAACGCUGGCGGCGUGCCUAAUACAUGCAAGUCGAGCGAACAGAUGAGGAGCUUGCUCCUCUGACGUUAGCGGCGGACGGGUGAGUAACACGUGGAUAACCUACCUAUAAGACUGGGAUAACUUCGGGAAACCGGAGCUAAUACCGGAUAAUAUAUUGAACCGCAUGGUUCAAUAGUGAAAGACGGUUUUGCUGUCACUUAUAGAUGGAUCCGCGCCGCAUUAGCUAGUUGGUAAGGUAACGGCUUACCAAGGCAACGAUGCGUAGCCGACCUGAGAGGGUGCGCGGCCACACUGUAACUGAGACGCGGUCACAACUCCUACGGGAGGCAGCAGUAUGGAAUCUUCCGCAAUGGGGGAAAGCCUGACGGAGCAACGCCGCGUGAGUGAAGAAGGUCUUCGGAUCGUAAAACUCUGUUAUUAGGGAAGAACAAAUGUGUAAGUAACUAUGCACGUCUUGACGGUACCUAAUCAGAAAGCCACGGCUAACUACGUG